GGCGAACUGGUGAGUAACACGUGGGAAACCUGCCCAGAAGCGGGGGAUAACACCUGGAAACAGAUGCUAAUACCGCAUAACAACUUGGACCGCAUGGUCCGAGUUUGAAAGAUGGCUUCGGCUAUCACUUUUGGAUGGUCCCGCGGCGUAUUAGCUAGAUGGUGGGGUAACGGCUCACCAUGGCAAUGAUACGUAGCCGACCUGAGAGGGUAAUCGGCCACAUUGGGACUGAGACACGGCCCAAACUACUACGGGAGGCAGCAGUAGGGAAUCUUCCACAAUGGACGAAAGUCUGAUGGAGCAACGCCGCGUGAGUGAAGAAGGGUUUCGGCUCGUAAAACUCUGUUGUUAAAGAAGAACAUAUCUGAGAGUAACUGUUCAGGUAUUGACGGUAUUUAACCAGAAAGCCACGGCUAACUACGUGCCAGCAGCCGCGGUAAUACGUAGGUGGCAAGCGUUGUCCGGAUUUAUUGGGCGUAAAGCGAGCGCAGGCGGUUUUUUAAGUCUGAUGUGAAAGCCUUCGGCUCAACCGAAGAAGUGCAUCGGAAACUGGGAAACUUGAGUGCAGAAGAGGACAGUGGAACUCCAUGUGUAGCGGUGAAAUGCGUAGAUAUAUGGAAGAACACCAGUGGCGAAGGCGGCUGUCUGGUCUGUAACUGACGCUGAGGCUCGAAAGUAUGGGUAGCAAACAGGAUUAGAUACCCUGGUAGUCCAUACCGUAAACGAUGAAUGCUAAGUGUUGGAGGGUUUCCGCCCUUCAGUGCUGCAGCUAACGCAUUAAGCAUUCCGCCUGGGGAGUACGGCCGCAAGGCUGAAACUCAAAGGAAUUGACGGGGGCCCGCACAAGCGGUGGAGCAUGUGGUUUAAUUCGAAGCUACGCGAAGAACCUUACCAGGUCUUGACAUACUAUGCAAAUCUAAGAGAUUAGACGUUCCCUUCGGGGACAUGGAUACAGGUGGUGCAUGGUUGUCGUCAGCUCGUGUCGUGAGAUGUUGGGUUAAGUCCCGCAACGAGCGCAACCCUUAUUAUCAGUUGCCAGCAUUAAGUUGGGCACUCUGGUGAGACUGCCGGUGACAAACCGGAGGAAGGUGGGGAUGACGUCAAAUCAUCAUGCCCCUUAUGACCUGGGCUACACACGUGCUACAAUGGAUGGUACAACGAGUUGCGAACUCGCGAGAGUAAGCUAAUCUCUUAAAGCCAUUCUCAGUUCGGAUUGUAGGCUGCAACUCGCCUACAUGAAGUCGGAAUCGCUAGUAAUCGCGGAUCAGCAUGCCGCGGUGAAUACGUUCCCGGGCCUUGUACACACCGCCCGUCACACCAUGAGAGUUUGUAACACCCAAAGUCGGUGGG
rnacentral:rRNA from 2 species